rnacentral:rRNA from 1 species
GAUGAACGCUGGCGGCGUGCCUAAUACAUGCAAGUCGAGCGAACGGACGAGAAGCUUGCUUCUCUGAUGUUAGCGGCAGACGGGUGAGUAACACGUGGAUAACCUACCUAUCAUACUGGGAAAACUUCGGGAAACCGGAUCUAAUACCGUAUAAUAUUUUGAACCGCAUGGUUCAAUAGUGAAAUACGGUCUUGCUGUCACUUAUAGAUGGAUCCGCGCUGCAUUAGCUAGUUGGUAAGGUAACGGCUUACCAAGGCAACGAUGCAUAGCCGACCUGAGAGGGUGGUCGGCCACCCUGGAACUGAGACACGGUCCAGACUCCUACGGGAGGCAGCAGUAGGGAAUCGUCCGCAAUGGGCGAAAGCCUGACGGAGCAACGCCGCGUGAGUGAUGAAGGUCUUCGGAUCGUAAAACUCUGUUAUUAGGGAAGAACAUAUGUGUAAGUAACUGUGCACAUCUUGACGGUACCUAAUCAGAAAGCCACGGCUAACUACGUG